rnacentral:ncRNA from 2 species
AAAGAUUGAUUGUCGAGCGGUAGCGGAGGAACCCGGUGUGAAUCCGGGACGGUCCCGCCACUGUGACCGGGGAGCGACCCGCUGACGCGCGGCACGCCACGGCCCUGACCGGGCCGGAAGGCGAGCGGGGAACGGCGAUCCGGAAGCCAGGAGACUCCGGCCGCUCGUGAUGACCGACA